UUCCAUUCCCUGAUCAGGACUGAACACAGAUCACUCACCAUGGAAUUGAGGAUCAGCUGGGUUUUCCUUGUUGCUAUUUUGAAAGGUGUCCAGUGUGAGGUGAAGCUGGUGGAGUCUGGGGGAGGAUUGGUGCAGCCUGGAGGGUCUCUGAGACUCUCCUGUGCAGCCUCUGGAUUCACCUUCAGUAGCUCUGGCAUGAACUGGGUCCGCCAGGCUCCAGGGAAGGGACUCCAGUGGGUGGCAAUUAUAUGGUAUGAUGGAAGUCAAAAAUACUAUGCAGAAACUGUGAAGGGCCGAUUCACCAUCUCCAGAGACAAUUCCAAGAACAUGUUGUAUCUGGAAAUGAACAACCUGAGAGCCGAGGACACAGCUGUGUAUUACUGUGCUAGGAACACAGUGAGGGGAAGUCAGUCUGAGCCCAUACAAAAACCUCCCUGCAGCAGAGGCUGUGACCAGCAGGGGGCGCUCAGGACCCACAGAUUUUGUGUUGCAGCCCCAGGAGCAGUUGGAGCUGCUGUUUAUGGCUGUUUACUCAGGAUUCUGGGUUUCCUCUCCACAUAA